rnacentral:rRNA from 1 species
GGACGGGUGAGUAACGCGUGGGUAACCUGCCUUAUACAGGGGGAUAACAGUCAGAAAUGACUGCUAAUACCGCAUAAGCGCACAGGACCGCAUGGUCCGGUGUGAAAAACUCCGGUGGUAUAAGAUGGACCCGCGCUGGAUUAGCUUGUUGGUGGGGUAACGGCUCACCAAGGCGACGAUCCAUAGCCGGCCUGAGAGGGUGAACGGCCACAUUGGGACUGAGACACGGCCCAGACUCCUACGGGAGGCAGCAGUGGGGAAUAUUGCACAAUGGGGGAAACCCUGAUGCAGCGACGCCGCGUGAAGGA